UCUGCCCUGUGAGGAUGCAGCAAGAAAACCCUCACCAGAUGCCAGUGCCUUGAUCUUGGACUUCCCAGCCCCCAGAGCUGACUAGAUCGCUAGCUGGCCCUUUGAUUUAACUCUUCAUCUACCAUAGUCAGGUGCCACAGCUUGAUGAACGAGAUAGAAUCGCACAAUGGGAUCAAAGGGACAGCCAGCCCAGUUUAUUUCCAGAGGAAAAGCUUACCAGGACACAAAGGAGGAAAAAAGACUCGGCUUGAAACCAAUUCUUCCCUGAAGUACAAAUCACCCUGCAGCAAAAAAAAAUGUUUGUGAAGCUAAGAGCUGUCCAGAUAAGAGAAAAGGUCAUGAUCUCCCUCCUGCGUGUUCAUCAGCCAACGAACAACAAUCUGAAAGUAAGAGGAUGUCUGUCAAUAUGGAGUGGGCAGGCAGCAGCGUGCCAUCAAAUUGAAGGCAGUGAAUGCUCACACAGUUGUACUGGGCUCCAACCUUAACCAAAAAUCAAUAAUCA
rnacentral:lncRNA from 1 species